CGGACGGGUGAGUAACACGUGGGUAACCUACCUAUAAGACUGGGACAACUUCGGGAAACCGGAGCUAAUACCGGAUAAGAUAUCGAACCGCAUGGUUCGAUAGUGAAAGANGGUUUUGCUAUCACUUAUAGAUGGACCCGCGCCGUAUUAGCUAGUUGGUGAGGUAACGGCUCACCAAGGCAACGAUACGUAGCCGACCUGAGAGGGUGAUCGGCCACACUGGAACUGAGACACGGUCCCAGACUCCAGGGAGCAGCAGGA
rnacentral:rRNA from 1 species